UUCGCUCCUUGUCUCAGUGCAUCCAGGAACCUCAUGUACAGUGGCACAGCAGCCAGGGCCUUCACCUGGUGAGAUGCUACAGCCAGGACUCUACCUGCACCACCACCAAAGGAUGUCUCCUCAGCUAGUGGUGAACCUUGGCAUCAACCUCUGAUGUAUCCAGCCCCAUCACAAGCCCCACAAAAAGAAAAGUGUCACCACCUGGACGCACACUGUUUCUCCUGUGUCUCUUCCUCCUUCUCCUGUUCCUGUAUCAAGCUUCUUCCAUUCUGCCUCCACUGCUACAGCUGAACCCCCUCUGCUCCUCUCACCUUGCCAUUGCCUAAAAAUGUGGGGAUCGUACCUGUUUCAGAUGCUGCCUGGAUGCCCACAAAGCUGCU